GACGAACGCUGGCGGCGUGCCUAACACAUGCAAGACGAACGGAACUGUUUUGACAGAUUUCUUCGGAAUGAAUUUGAUUUAGUUUAGUGGCGGACGGGUGAGUAACGCGUGAGUAACCUGCCUUCAAGAGGGGAAUAACAUUCUGAAAAGAAUGCUAAUACCGCAUGACAUAUCGGAACCACAUGGUUUUGAUAUCAAAGAUUUUAUCGCUUGAAGAUGGACUCGCGUCCGAUUAGUUAGUUGGUGAGGUAACGGCUCACCAAGACCGCGAUCGGUAGCCGGACUGAGAGGUUGAACGGCCACAUUGGGACUGAGACACGGCCCAGACUCCUACGGGAGGCAGCAGUGGGGGAUAUUGCGCAAUGGGGGCAACCCUGACGCAGCAACGCCGCGUGAAGGAUGAAGGUUUUCGGAUUGUAAACUUCUUUUAUUAAGGACGAAAAAUGACGGUACUUAAUGAAUAAGCUCCGGCUAACUACGUG
rnacentral:rRNA from 1 species